rnacentral:rRNA from 1 species
UCGAGAAUAUUCGUCAAUGCCCGAAAGGGUGAACGAGCGACGCCGCGUGCGGGAAGAAGGCCUUCGGGUUGUAAACCGCUUUUCUUAGGGAAAAAUUUCGUGAUGGUACCUAAGGAAUAAGAGGUUACUAACUCUGUGCCAGCAGUAGCGGUAAUACAGAGACCUCAAGCGUUAUCCGGAUUUAUUGGGCGUAAAGAGCAUGUAGGCGGACUAGUUAGUCAGAUGUCAAAUCUUCGAGCUCAACUCGAAAACUGCAUUUGAAACGGCUAGUCUAGAGACGGUAAGAGAUCGAUGGAACAUAUGGUGUAGCAGUGAAAUGCGUUGAUAUCAUAUGGAACACCAAAGGCGAAGGCAUUCGAUUGGUAUCGUUCUGACGCUGAGAUGCGAAAGCGUGGGUAGC